CCCUCACUCUCUCCACUCCCAGACUCCCAGUCCACUCACGAUGCCAGAUCUCCGCGAGUCACCCAUUCCACCCCCUCCGCUCUCGCCCCCACAGCCAGCGACCUCGUCUCGCACCGCCGCCUCCUCUCAUCCCCUCCCCAGCUCCCCUCCACUCAUCCGACGGCGACUAGAUGCGAACACAACCGGCGACCAACAUCACACAAAGGUCGCCACCGCCGGCGGUGGAAGGACAGUCUUCUCCCGCCGCUAGCCGCAGCCUCCGCCUCGCCCAGAUCCUCGGCCUCCUCGACCGCCGCUCGCUCUCCUCGGAAGCACCUCGCCGCCUCCCUGCCCAUGCCGUGUUCGCCGACUGCCCUGCUCGCGCCGACCUCGCCAAUCUCGCGGCCACGCUUGGUAGUGCUUGACUUGUCCUCGCCGCCGCCAGCGGCGACGGGUCCUUCCCGUGCCUCUACCGCCUCGUGGUUGAGUCCUCCUCUCCCCAAAUCGACACCCGUCCAUUUGUCGAGCCUUCCGUGCCAGCGACAUGAGCAGGAUGGUGUACACCGACUUCACAGACAUGUGGCCGUCGAGGCUUCAGAUGAGGUCGACGCGGAUGAGAACAGUCCAUAGAGCUGUACCAGGCAGAACAAGCUUUUCCACGCAUGGGGUCUGAUUACAAUAUUUUCGGAGAUGCAUAAUAUGCCAAACACUGCUCAAGGUGCCUCGUCCAUGGGCGCAUGAUAGUGGAAAAACAUCUGUAAAUUGUGCAGGAUCCUAUAGAGCAAAUGGGCAUCAUCGACGUGCAGUACACGCUCUCUUAGGAAGAUAAGUAACCUCAGAAAAGUUAUUUUGUGAAGAUCGGUGGUUCAUGGUCUGAAAGUUUUGUUUUUCUCUCUAAAUUUUGUACUAGAUAAUCCCUUAAAUGCUUUUUACUGCUUGAUCACAUAAUACAUGUCCGUGCAAGAAAGGAGUUGUUAACUGAAACAAUAAUGUUAAAUUUUGUUGUUAACUGAAACAAUAAUGUUAAUUUAUGUUAACUACAAACUGUCUUGGACAUUGGUGUUUUCAAAUUAACUCCGUGUUGAACUGGUUCUUCUUGUUGUGUGCUGCAGCCCAGCAAUCUGUUCAUGCCAAAUGAUUGAGUCCUGGUGAGGUUCAUUGCUGGACAUUCACGGUCUCCGCAGGCAAGG